rnacentral:lncRNA from 13 species
AUGAAAUGCCUUGAGAAAAUUGUGAAAAGUCAUAUUCUUAGUGUCACCCAGAAGCUCCUCGACCCAUUUCAGUUUGCCUAUCAGCCUAGCAGAGGAGUUGAUGAUGCCAUUCUUACCCUCCUUAACGUGGUCUAUAGACAUCUAGAGGGUGCCAAAUUCCAUGUCAGGGUUCUGUUUGUUGACUUUUCUUCUGCCUUCAACACAAUCCAGCCUUACAUUCUGGCACAGAGACUCAUUCGGGACUUCUUCUUAGACAGGGGGCUGGUUUUGUGGCUGUUGGACUUCCUGAGCCAACACUCACAGCGAGUCAAAAUAGGUCCCCAUGUGUCGGAUAUACGCAAUACCAACACAGGCUCUCCUCAGGGAUGUGUUUUGUCCCCACUUCCGUACAUCUUGUACACUAAUAGUUGUACUAGUUCCCAUACUGACAGACACCUCGUUAAGUUCGCUGAUGACACUGCCUUGAUCAGCCUGUUGCAUGAUGACGAGGAACAUCAUGGCCCGUUCCUAGAUGACUUUGUAGAGUGGUGUGAAGAAUCACAGUUGGUCCUUAAUACCAACAAGACCAAAGAGAUGUGCAUAGACUUCAGGAAGCGUACAACACCUACCUCUGCAACAUCUAUCAGAAGUCAGAAUAUAGAAAUUGUAGAGGAAUACAAACAUCUGGGUGUCCUUUUGGACAAUAAGCUUCAGUGGAGUAAAUGUACAGACCUGAUCUACAAAAAGAGCCAACAGAGACUGUACUUUCUCAAAAAGUUGGGUUCUUUUAAUAUAGACUGUACUAUACUGACUCUGUUUUGCAAAUCCUUUAUUGAGAGUAUUUUAACAUUUUGUAUUGCUUGUUGGCUUGGCAAUGCCACUGUCAGCCAGAGAAACAUGCUGAGAAGGAUUAUUACCACAGCAAGCAAGGUACUUGGAGUCAAACAGACAGGCCUGGAUGAGAUCUUUAAGGUCAGGGCCCUCCAUAAGGCUCACAAAAUAAUUUUAUACCCAAGUCACCCCCUGUACCUGGACUUUGAAUUACUCCCCUCUGGGUGCAGGUAUAGGGCACCCUUCAGCAGGCAAAACAGAGCGAGACAAUCAUUUGUGCCAGGUGUGAUAUCCCUCCUAAAUAACUCGGCGAAUGUUCCCAUUGACUCCGUAAGGCCAGCAGGCUAG